rnacentral:rRNA from 1 species
CCUACGGGUGGCAGCAGUGAGGAAUAUUGGUCAAUGGACGCAAGUCUGAACCAGCCAUGCCGCGUGCAGGAUGACGGCUCUAUGAGUUGUAAACUGCUUUUGUACGAGGGUAAACCCCGAUACGUGUAUCGGGUUGCAAGUAUCGUACGAAUAAGGAUCGGCUAACUCCGUGCCAGCAGCCGCGGUAAUACGGGGGAUCCGAGCGUUAUCCGGAUUGAUUGGGUUUAAAGGGUGCGUAGGCGGUUUGAUAAGUUAGAGGUGAAAGGUCGGGGCUCAACCCCGAAACUGCCUCUAAUACUGUUGGACUAGAGAAUAGUUGCGGUAGGCGGAAUGUAUGGUGUAGCGGUGAAAUGCUUAGAGAUCAUACAGAACACCGAUUGCGAAGGCAGCUUACCAAACUAUAUCUGACGUUGAGGCACGAAAGCGUGGGUAGCAAACAGGAUUAGAUACCCUUGUAGUC